CCUACGGGGCGCAGCAGUGGGGAAUAUUGGGCAAUGGGCGCAAGCCUGACCCAGCAACGCCGCGUGAAGGAAGAAGGCUCUCGGGUUGUAAACUUCUUUUAUCAGGGACGAAGCAAGUGACGGUACCUGAUGAAUAAGCAACGGCUAACUACGUGCAAGCAGCCGCGGGAAUACGUAGGUGGCAAGCGUUAUCCGGAUUUACUGGGUGUAAAGGGCGUGUAGGCGGGAAAGCAAGUCAGAUUGGAAAACCAUGGGCUCAACCUGUGGCCUGCAUUUGAAACUGUUUUUCUUGAGUACUGGAGAGGCAGACGGAAUUCCUAGUGUAGCGGUGAAAUGCGUAGAUAUUAGGAGGAACACCAGUGGCGAAGGCGGUCUGCUGGACAGCAACUGACGCUGAGGCGCGAAAGCGUGGGGAGCAAACAGGAUUAGAUACCCGUGUAGUC
rnacentral:rRNA from 1 species